rnacentral:rRNA from 1 species
GCCAGCGGCGAUAGCACGUUGAAUACACCAAUUCCCAAUAGUUCACCGGAGUUAAGUAACGUUCGCGUGGUUGAUGUCCGGAUGGGUGACCAUCUGAGUGUGUUUCAUUUGCUUCUUAUC